AGCAAAUCCUUUUCUAUAUAAAGAGGUCCGAAACAAGCUUCUCUACCCACCAUCUCUUCCACAAAUCCACAACCAUAGAAGCAGCUGCAUUGCUCUUACUUAGAAAUCUUAGGGCCCUGUAAAAAACAUUAUCAAGUGAUCGGCCAGUACUUAGGGAAUAUUAUGGAGCUUAAAAAGGGAGUAGAAACGAGAGGUGUUAAUGAAGAGAAAUGGGUUCAUGAUUCCUCGGUGGAUCAUAAAGGAAGGGUUCCCCUCCGAGCCUCUACUGGUGCAUGGAAAGCAUCACUCUUCAUCAUCGCAAUUGAAUUCAGUGAGAGAUUGAGUUACUUCGGAAUAGCGACGAGCCUAAUCAUUUAUCUUUCCAAGGUGAUGCAUCAAGACCUUAAGACAGCUGCUAGGAGUGUAAACUACUGGGGUGGCGUGACUACAUUGAUGCCAUUAUUUGGAGGCUUUCUUGCUGAUGCUUACUUGGGCCGAUUUACCACUGUUUUUGUUUCAUCCAUUGUCUAUCUUCUGGGCUUGAUUCUCUUAACAAUGUCCGCGUUUGUACCAAGUCUAAAGGCUUGUGAGGCAGCUGUGUGUCCCAAGCCUCGGAAGGUUCAUGAAGUAGUCUUCUUUCUUGCAAUUUACUUGAUCUCCGUAGGAACUGGAGGGCACAAACCCUCCUUGGAGAGUUUUGGAGCUGACCAAUUUGACGAGAAUCACGAUGACGAAAGAAAGAAAAAGAUGUCCUACUUCAACUGGUGGAACUUCGGCCUCUGUUGUGGACUUCUGCUUGGUGUGACUCUGGUUGUUUAUGUGCAAGAUCAUGUUGGUUGGGGUGCUGGAGAUAUCAUUCUUACAGCAGUUAUGGCUUUAUCACUAGUUAUCUUCAUUAUAGGACGGCCAUUUUACCGCUAUCAGGUGCCAACAGGGAGCCCCUUGACCCCAAUGUUGCAGGUCCUGGUAGCUGCCAUUAGAAACAGAAACCUGCCAUAUCCUUCCAAUCCUGCAGAAUUGUAUGAAGUUCCCAAGUCAAGAACGGACAAAGGGAGGCUUCUCUGCCAUACCGAAAGUCUCAAGUUUCUUGACAAGGCGACUAUUGUGAAGGAUAGGGAAAUUGGUGCUGAAAACCAAAAUCCUUGGAGACUAGCAACCGUGACCAAGGUUGAAGAGAUGAAGCUUAUUCUCAAUUUGAUCCCAAUAUGGCUAGCCAUGCUACCAUUUGGAAUUUCUGUUGCCCAAACCGCCACAUUCUUCAUCAAGCAAGGCACUACGCUGGACCGAAAUAUUGGUAACGGCUUUCAGAUCCCUCCAGCCUCAGUUUACGCACUUGCCGCUAUUGGAAUGAUAGUCUCCGUGACGAUUUACGAGAAGAUUUUAGUCCCAGUAUUACGAAGGGCUACAGGAAAUGAGCGAGGCAUCAAAAUCCUCCAGAGAAUUGGCUUUGGAAUGCUUUUCUCAAUCUCAACAAUGGUAGUUUCAGCCUUGGUUGAGAGGAAGAGACUAGGUGUUGUAGCGAAGGAUCCAGUGAAGGGCUCACUUUCAAUGAGUGUCUUCUGGUUGGCUCCACAAUUCAUCAUCAUUGGUGUAGGAGAUGCAUUUACUCUAGUGGGCUUGCAAGAGUAUUUCUAUGACCAAGUUCCAGAUUCUAUGAGAAGCCUAGGCAUUGCCUUUUACCUUAGUGUAAUUGGAGCUGCAAACUUCCUUAGUAGUCUCCUGAUAACAGCUGUUGAUCAUGUGACUGAGAAAACCGGCAAGAGUUGGUUUGGAAAAGACUUGAACAGUAGCCGCCUAGACAACUUUUACUGGCUUUUAGCCGGCAUGACUGCAGCCAACUUAAUUCUCUAUGUGUUCUUGGCUCGGCGAUAUCCAUACAAAAAUGUGCAGAGUAGCGUGGCUGUAGCUGACUGCUAUAAGGAUGGUCUGGAAGGUUCAAUGGCCUGAAAUACAUAUGCCACUAGCUAGUAUAUAUAUGAAAUAACCUUCGAUGCUUGAGAUGUUCUUCUGGUGUUUUUCAACUCUUCAUGCUUCAUCAAUGUAUGUUUGUGCAAUCAACAAUCGAUGAUCAAACUCAGUCCAGAUGCAAAAGCAGAAGAGCGGCUUUCAGGAACUGCUAUGAAUUAUUAGUGUCAUAAAAUAAUGACAAAUAUCAAUAACUAGCUAGUAUUCAUGGAAUUGCCAUUGCCAUGAAGCAAAAGGAUAUUUAUUGCCUUGAUCAAUCAGCCGCUAAUAAUAAAGAUACCAUAACUUUUUUUUUUUCAAGCCA